rnacentral:lncRNA from 1 species
AUUCAAAAUAGGCAAAUCCCAUUACAAGACACCUAGCACAACAUUGAUUUUACUCUUUGGACAGAAAAUCAACUUGUAAGUGGUACUCCUGGUGUAGUGAUCAAAUAUUGACAAUAAACUCCUGUCAAAUAUCAAGCCUUCUUUUGGGCCGACUUAAUAUUCACAUGGAAAACCAAAUAACUGUCACAUAUUUAUCACCACAAGCAUGUUCGAAUUCCUGCCAAAUAACAACCUUCCUUUGGGCCGGUGUUAAACGCAUGGAAGAC